rnacentral:lncRNA from 1 species
GAAGGGUAAUUCUGUUGUUAUUGACCUGAUUGUUUUUCUUUCCUCUCACCCUUUUCUCUCUCUUUAGUGUUCUGGUCGCUGUGUAGGCCGCCCUGUAGGUUUACAGCAUCGUCACUUUGUAUGUCAACUUCGUAAUGGAUCUUUGGUGCCAGACUCUUCUUGUGAUGAAAGAAAGAGGUCUCCUGUCAGAAGAAACUGUUCUUCAGAGGCAUGCGAUGUCUAUUGGAGGACAGGCCCUUGGAGGCCUUGCAGUGUGGACUGUGGGAGUGGAUUUCAGUCCAGACGAGUGUACUGUGUACACAGAAAGAGUAACAAACCUGUGGCUGAUCAGUACUGUGGAUGGAGGAAGAGACCAGUGACCUGGCAACACUGCAGUGUCACAUCCUGUGGCAAAGGCGAGUGCAAGGAUACAACUCACUACUGUACAUUUGUAAAGCAACUAAAGUUAUGCUUGAUAGACACCUACAAACAAAGAUGUUGUCAAUCAUGUCAAGAAAUGUAACUCUUCUAUGGAAAGUUCAUGAUGCUGCAGUGAAGAGAUGAGAAGAGAGGUUCAUUAAACUAGCCUGCUCAAAGUAUACACUUGUAAAUAAGACAUUAGUCAUAACAGUUAAAUGGAAACGUGGGGCUAAUGAAAAAACAGUACUGCAGAUUGAUAUGCUGGACAGGGUAUUUCUUCUGGAAACUUUUAUUAUCCACUCUUUGCAAUGGAACUUAAUGUUUUAAACAUUUUUGUGUCUGGAUUAGAAAGAUAAUAUCAUGGCACAUCAUCUGUAAAAUUUUACAGGCCAUCACAUUAUAAUUUUAUUAGGGGGAAGAAGUGUUAACUAAAAGCACCAGGUAGUGCCUACUGUCCUUAACUUAUGAGAAAAAGUCACAAAAUCCUUUGAAGAAUUUUGGAAUGCAGCAAUUACUGACCCCUAGGUUUUGGUUUUAUCGUUUUAUCAAAUUGAACACAAUUUUUCAAUUUAUAGAAGCUGUGGCUUGUAGCUGUAAAUUUUUUGACCAGCAACUUCAUUUUCAUAAACAGCUUGAGCUUAAGGGCUGAUCUCACGGGAUACGUUUUACUGAUACUAGCUGUCAGAUGGAUACACAGAAGUACAUUCAAUUUUUCAUGCUUGUAUUUAUGUGUAUGCAGUAGAAGAAAUUGUAGAUGCUAGUACAAUUUUCAAAACAGCUGUAGAUCUGUUUUGAAUAAAUGAGGUGUCAUUUUCCA